CCCCUACGACUCGCGCGUCGACGGUGAGUACACUGGGAAGUNUCCGUAUCGUACGGAAUAGACUCAGGAAACUGGGUAAGUACCGCAUACGCCUUCGGGGAAACGAGUUAUCGCCGAUAGAUGAGCCCGCGUCUGAUUAGCUAGUUGGUGAGGUAAUGGCUCACCAAGGCGACGAUCAGUAGCUGGUCUGAGAGGAUGAUCAGCCACACUGGGACUGAGACACGGCCCAGACUCCUACGGGAGGCAGCAGUGGGGAAUAUUGGACAAUGGGCGAAAGCCUGAUCCAGCCAUGCCGCGUGAGUGACGAAGGUCUUCGGAUUGUAAAGCUCUUUUGGCGGGGACGAUAAUGACGGUACCCGCAGAAUAAGCCCCGGCUAACUUCGUGCCAGCAGCCGCGGUAAUACGAAGGGGGCUAGCGUUGUUCGAAAUUACUGGGCGUAAAGCGCACGUAGGCGGAUUCGUAAGUCAGGGGUGAAAUCCCGGGGCUCAACCUCGGAACUGCCUUUGAUACUGCAAGUCUUGAGUCCGGUUGUCGACGCGGCCG
rnacentral:rRNA from 1 species